rnacentral:rRNA from 1 species
AGGCCUAUCAGUAUCCUGAGUAGGGCGGGACACGUGAAAUCCCGUUUGAAUCCGCGAGGACCAUCUCGCAAGGCUAAAUACUAACCAGUGACCGAUAGUGAACCAGUACCGUGAGGGAAAGGUGAAAAGAACCCCGGGAGGGGAGUGAAAGAGAACCUGAAACCGUGUGCCUACAAGUAGUCAGAGCCCGUUAACGGGUAAUGGCGUGCCUUUUGUAGAAUGAACCGGCGAGUUGCGUUAGUCAGCAAGGUUAAGUCAGAAAAGACGGAGCCGUAGCGAAAGCGAGUCUGAAGAGGGCGAGCAGUUGGCUGACGCAGACCCGAAACCAAGUGACCUACCCAUGACCAGGUUGAAGGCGCGGUAAAACGCGCUGGAGGACCGAACCCACGUAAGUUGAAAAUUGCGGGGAUGAGUUGUGGGUAGCGGUGAAAUUCCAAACGAACUUGGAGAUAGCUGGUUCUCUCCGAAAUAGCUUUAGGGCUAGCCUCGCAAAGAGGAUGCUGGAGGUAGAGCUCUGUUUGGACUAGGGGCCCGUCAAGGGUUACUGAAUUCAGAUAAACUGCGAAUUCCAGACAUUUAUGUGCGGGAGUCAGACUGCGAGUGAUAAGAUCCGUAGUCGAAAGGGAAACAGCCCAGAUCACCAGUUAAGGUCCCAAAAUUCAUGCUAAGUGGAAAAGGAUGUGGAGUUGCGCAGACAACUAGGACGUUGGCUCAGAAGCAGCCAUCAUUCAAAGAGUGCGUAAUAGCUCACUAGUCGAGUGACGCCG